UGAGUAACCUGCCCUUAACUCUGGGAUAAGCCUGGGAAACUGGGUCUAAUACCGGAUAUGACUCCUCAUCGCAUGGUGGGGGGUGGAAAGCUUUAUUGUGGUUUUGGAUGGACUCGCGGCCUAUCAGCUUGUUGGUGAGGUAAAUGGCUUACCAAGGCGACGACGGGUAGCCGGCCUGAGAGGGUGACCGGCCACACUGGGACUGAGACACGGCCCAGACUCCUACGGGAGGCAG
rnacentral:rRNA from 1 species